rnacentral:rRNA from 1 species
UACGAGAGGCCCAAACGUUAUUCGGAAUUACUGGGCUUAAAGAGUUCGUAGGCGGCAUGAAAAGUAGGGUGUGAAAGCCCUCGGCUCAACCGAGGAAUUGCGCUCUAAACUGUCGUGCUCGAGGAACCUAGAGGUGAGCAGAACAGAUGGUGGAGCGGUGAAAUGCGUUGAUAUCAUCUGGAAUACCGGAGGCGAAGGCGGCUCACUGGGGGUUUUCUGACGCUGAGGAACGGAAAGCCAGGGUAGCGAACGGG